rnacentral:rRNA from 1 species
AGAGUUUGAUCAUGGCUCAGAGCGAACGCUGGCGGCAUGCUUAACACAUGCAAGUCGCACGGGCAGGGGUAACUCUGUCAGUGGCGGACGGGUGAGUAACGCGUAGGUAUCUAUCCUUGGGUGGGGGACAACUGUGGGAAACUACAGCUAAUACCGCAUGGUAACUGAGGUUUAAAGGCGCAAGUCGCCUGGGGAGGAGCCUGCGUACGAUUAGCUAGUUGGUGGGGUAAAGGCCUACCAAGGCUGCGAUCGUUAGCUGGUCUGAGAGGAUGAUCAGCCACAUUGGGACUGAGACACGGCCCAAACUCCUACGGGAGGCAGCAGUGGGGAAUAUUGGACAAUGGGCGAAAGCCUGAUCCAGCAAUGCCGCGUGUGUGAAGAAGGUCUUCGGAUUGUAAAGCACUUUCGACGGGGACGAUGAUGACGGUACCCGUAGAAGAAGCCCCGGCUAACUUCGUGCCAGCAGCCGCGGUAAUACGAAGGGGGCUAGCGUUGCUCGGAAUGACUGGGCGUAAAGGGCGCGUAGGCGGAUGACACAGUCAGAUGUGAAAUUCCCGGGCUUAACCUGGGGGCUGCAUUUGAUACGUGUUGUCUAGAGUGAGGAAGAGGGUUGUGGAAUUCCCAGUGUAGAGGUGAAAUUCGUAGAUAUUGGGAAGAACACCGGUGGCGAAGGCGGCAACCUGGUCCUUGACUGACGCUGAGGCGCGAAAGCGUGGGGAGCAAACAGGAUUAGAUACCCUAGUAGUCC